UGGCCUUCAUCAUCCAAUAGAGGAUGUGG
rnacentral:piRNA from 1 species